AGCUUUGCACAGUGGCAGUAUCAUAGCCAGUGAGGUUUCUCUGAGGCAGAGUAUUGCUAAUUAAAAACUAAGCAGAAGAGG
rnacentral:snRNA from 1 species